UACGUAAGGGGCGAGCGUUGUUCGGAAUUAUUGGGCGUAAAGGGUGCGUAGGCGGUUUGGUAUGUGCGUCUUUCAAACUCAGGGCUUACCCUUGGGACCGGACGCAAACUGCCAGACUAGAGUUCGCUAGGGGUUGGUGGAAUUCCAGGUGUAGCGGUGAAAUGUAUAGAUAUCUGGAGGAACACCGGUGGCGAAGGCGACCAACUGGGGCUGAACUGACGCUGAAGCACGAAAGCCAGGGGAGCAAACGGG
rnacentral:rRNA from 1 species